rnacentral:siRNA from 1 species
UGAAAAACUAUCUCAGGAUAC